rnacentral:rRNA from 1 species
AUGAAUCUAAGCAACGCUCUAAACACGUUUGCUCCCAUGUCUUUGAUAUGUAAGACACCGGAUGUAGUAGUGCCCUCCUUCAUGGGGCCAAAGAGAUGUGCCAUGAAGACUUUGGACCGGGCUGCAAGCACACACCGAUGUGCAGUGAACGUCUCGCCGCUAACUUCAAAUGUCACAUCAGCACCCACUUUAGUUUGA